UGACGGUACUGUAAGAAUAAGGAUCGGCUAACUCCGUGCCAGCAGCCGCGGUAAUACGGAGGAUCCAAGCGUUAUCCGGAAUCAUUGGGUUUAAAGGGUCCGCAGGCGGUCUAUUAAGUCAGAGGUGAAAUCCUACCGCUCAACUGUAGAACUGCCUUUGAUACUGAUAGACUUGAGUUAUUGUGAAGUAGUUAGAAUGUGUAGUGUAGCGGUGAAAUGCAUAGAUAUUACACAGAAUACCGAUUGCGAAGGCAGAUUACUAACAAUAUACUGACGCUCAUGGACGAAAGCGUGGGUAGCGAACAGGAUUAGAUACCCUGGUAGUCCACGCCGUAAACGAUGGUCACUAGCUGUUUG
rnacentral:rRNA from 1 species